GUAACAAACCCCAGAGCUGAUCCCUGUUCUUUGAGUAGCAGCAGGAGUGUGGCUGUUAUGGCUUGACAUGGAAAUGAGGAACAAGCUCUGCUCCCCAGCAGGUGCCCAGGUGGAAAUUUGCAGUUAUCUCUUCAGGGGCUGGUGUAAAUCCCAAACUGUUGAAGAGCAAUCACUGUGCAAACAGAAGCUCCAAGUGAAUGAACUCAGAAGCGGAUGUGGCAAAUUCCCUGAUCCCAGUAAAGGAAGGAAGAUGGUGAUAUUCACCUGAAAAAUGCCCUCCAUCAAGAAAAUGGCAUCUACCUGGACAAAUCCAGAAAUG
rnacentral:lncRNA from 1 species